GCGUGCGCGCGGGGGUCCGUCCCCCUGCUGCCGAGUGCUGCGUGGCUGCCGACCUCGCCGGCUCGUAUCCUACGCCGCUCGUUCGUGUCGGCGUGCCCCUCGUCAACUCCUCGCUGCUCGCUGCUCGAUCGCGGCCGCUUUGGCCGGGCACGACGCGCGCGUGGGUCGUGCGCCCGGAGACCGGGAGAGCGCCUGAGAUUGACAGCGUCCACGGCUCCGCGCUGUGUGAUGGCGACGACGGGCAUAGCCAUGGCUCCAUGCUUCUGAUUACUGUACACAAACCCGAGGCAAUGCCCAGGUGUGAAAUUCGGUCCCAUCAUCGCCGAUGGCUGUUGGAUCAUUUCACAGGGGACAGGACCUGCUAAUUAUGUGACCAGCUCCCCAGUACAGUAAAGAGUAGGACGGCAUUUUUUAUUUUUCCUGGACCGACUUUGUUACACCGGCCCGGCCGCGGCAAGGCGUUUCCUUUCUCAACUUCAUAUACCACCCUUUAAGUUGAUUAAGUCCUCCAUAUCUUUAUUAGUGAGCUUUAAUUCUUUUCAUUGAAUUAUUGAAUAAUUGGGUCAAGCCUGUAAAUUUCAACAAUCCCCAU
rnacentral:lncRNA from 1 species